rnacentral:rRNA from 1 species
CUACGGGCUGCUCCAGUGGGGAAUAUUGCACAAUGGGCGCAAGCCUGGUGCAGCAACGCCGCGUGAGGGAUGAAGGCCUUCGGGUUGUAAACCUCUUUUAGCAGGGAAGAAGCGAAAGUGACGGUACCUGCAGAAAAAGCACCGGCUAACUACGUGCCAGCAGCCGCGGGUAAUACGUAGGGUGCAAGCGUUGUCCGGAAUUAUUGGGCGUAAAGAGCUCGUAGGCGGUUUGUCACGUCUGCUGUGAAAAUCCAAGGCUCAACCUUGGACUUGCAGUGGGUACGGGCAGGCUAGAGUGCGGUAGGGGAGAUGGGAAUUCCUGGUGUAGCGGUGGAAUGCGCAGAUAUCAGGAGGAACACCAAUGGCGAAGGCACAUCUCUGGGCCGUAACUGACGCUGAGGAGCGAAAGCGUGGGGAGCGAACAGGAUUAGAUACCCUGGUAGUC